ACGUACUUGUACUGAUUGAGAUUUUAACACGAAGUGAGUGGCGAACGGGUGAGUAACACGUGGGUAACCUGCCCAGAAGUAGGGGAUAACACCUGGAAACAGAUGCUAAUACCGUAUAACAGAGAAAACCGCAUGGUUUUCUUUUAAAAGAUGGCUCUGCUAUCACUUCUGGAUGGACCCGCGGCGUAUUAGCUAGUUGGUGAGGUAAAGGCUCACCAAGGCAGUGAUACGUAGCCGACCUGAGAGGGUAAUCGGCCACAUUGGGACUGAGACACGGCCCAGACUCCUACGGGAGGCAGCAGUAGGGAAUCUUCCACAAUGGACGCAAGUCUGAUGGAGCAACGCCGCGUGAGUGAAGAAGGGUUUCGGCUCGUAAAGCUCUGUUGUUAAAGAAGAACGUGGGUAAGAGUAACUGUUUACCCAGUGACGGUAUUUAACCAGAAAGCCACGGCUAACUACGUGCCAGCAGCCGCGGUAAUACGUAGGUGGCAAGCGUUAUCCGGAUUUAUUGGGCGUAAAGCGAGCGCAGGCGGUCUUUUAAGUCUAAUGUGAAAGCCUUCGGCUCAACCGAAGAAGUGCAUUGGAAACUGGGAGACUUGAGUGCAGAAGAGGACAGUGGAACUCCAUGUGUAGCGGUGAAAUGCGUAGAUAUAUGGAAGAACACCAGUGGCGAAGGCGGCUGUCUGGUCUGCAACUGACGCUGAGGCUCGAAAGCAUGGGUAGCGAACAGGAUUAGAUACCCUGGUAGUCCAUGCCGUACACGAUGAUUACUAAGUGUUGGAGGGUUUCCGCCCUUCAGUGCUGCAGCUAACGCAUUAAGUAAUCCGCCUGGGGAGUACGACCGCAAGGUUGAAACUCAAAAGAAUUGACGGGGGCCCGCACAAGCGGUGGAGCAUGUGGUUUAAUUCGAAGCUACGCGAAGAACCUUACCAGGUCUUGACAUCUUCUGACAGUCUAAGAGAUUAGAGGUUCCCUUCGGGGACAGAAUGACAGGUGGUGCAUGGUUGUCG
rnacentral:rRNA from 1 species